rnacentral:rRNA from 2 species
UGGGUAGUUUGACUGGGGCGGUCUCCUCCUAAAGAGUAACGGAGGAGCACGAAGGUUGGCUAAUCCUGGUCGGACAUCAGGAGGUUAGUGCAAUGGCAUAAGCCAGCUUGACUGCGAGCGUGACGGCGCGAGCAGGUGCGAAAGCAGGUCAUAGUGAUCCGGUGGUUCUGAAUGGAAGGGCCAUCGCUCAACGGAUAAAAGGUACUCCGGGGAUAACAGGCUGAUACCGCCCAAGAGUUCAUAUCGACGGCGGUGUUUGGCACCUCGAUGUCGGCUCAUCACAUCCUGGGGCUGAAGUAGGUCCCAAGGGUAUGGCUGUUCGCCAUUUAAAGUGGUACGCGAGCUGGGUUUAGAACGUCGUGAGACAGUUCGGUCCCUAUCUGCCGUGGGCGCUGGAGAACUGAGGGGGGCUGCUCCUAGUACGAGAGGACCGGAGUGGACGCAUCACUGGUGUUCGGGUUGUCAUGCCAAUGGCACUGCCCGGUAGCUAAAUGCGGAAGAGAUAAGUGCUGAAAGCAUCUAAGCACGAAACUUGCCCCGAGAUGAGUUCUCCCUGAGACUUUAGGUCUCCUGAAGGAACGUUGAAGACGACGACGUUGAUAGGCCGGGUGUGUAAGCGCAGCGAUGCGUUGAGCUAACCGGUACUAAUGAACCGUGAGGCUUAACCUUACAACGCCGAAG